CAGCCGCCGCGGUAAUACGAAGGGUGCAAGCGUUAAUCGGAAUUACUGGGCGUAAAGCGUGCGUAGGCGGUGAGUUAAGUCUGCUGUGAAAUCCCCGGGCUCAACCUGGGAAUGGCAGUGGAUACUGGCUCGCUAGAGUGUGUCAGAGGAUGGUGGAAUUCCCGGUGUAGCGGUGAAAUGCGUAGAGAUCGGGAGGAACAUCAGUGGCGAAGGCGGCCAUCUGGGACAACACUGACGCUGAGGCACGAAAGCGUGGGGAGCAAGCAGGAUUAGAUACCCCCGUAGUCCCUGUCUCUUAUAC
rnacentral:rRNA from 1 species